UGCAACAGCGCGCAAGUCGCGUGGGAAUUACAGAAUCUUCUGGGCCUUUAAAGUUGGGCCGGAUGGAUCUGAUCCUGGUGUCUACAUACGCAGCGCCCUAAAGCCCUAGCCCGUAGUUCAAGUGGAGUCAUCGUCGCCGGCGAUUUUUCAAAGAGGUAGUCCAAAAUCGUCAUUUGGUGGAAGCAAACGGGAGCUCUCUCAAAUACUCGUAGCCCUAGCCCCUAAAUCCUCUUUGGUGCAAUGAUGGCUUCGAAUAAAUUGAAGGGGUCAACAUCCAGGAUUUCUUCAAAAUCAUCAAAACCUUUCUCCUCUAACUGCAAGAAACCUUCUUUCUUCGUAAGUAAAUUUUGUGUUUUAUUUGAAAGUCUAUUUGAAAGUCACUUAACCUAUACGAUUGUCCAAGUUCUUUCUAUAGUUUGUGCUUGAGAUACAUACAUGCUUCCAAAUAUAUGUGUAAUUGACAUGAUAUUCCAUUCAUUUCUGAUGUUAGGUUCUUUAAUCAUGUUCCGAGUAUGAGUGCUAGAAAAUUAAAAAUAAUUCUUGAUCUUAAUCCAAUUUUUGUUUUCCAUCAUCUAAUUGUUGUAUCUUCCAUUAAACAUAUUCUACACAAAUGUCCAGCUAUAUUGUCAUUGACCUGUUGGAUUAGAUGGAUUUGUCGAGUACCCAGGAUUUUGAGAGUUGAGCAUCUAUACAUUACUCCUUUGUAUUUCUCAUCUUUCAGCAAAAAAAAAGUAUUAACCAUUAAUAUUGAAGCAUUAUAUGAUUCAUGCUUGAGAUGACACCACUCGACCAUGGAUGUUUAAGAAAAAGUUCAAACCUUAGAUUGCAUUCUAAUGUAUCUAAAAAAUACUAACAUCAACUCCACUUGACCUCUGCGAUAUAUGGAUUCUUUAUGUUCAUGUAUUUCUCAUCUUUGCAGGAAACAUAUUCAGUUUAUAAAACCAUUAUAAUUGGUUGGAUAUGGAAGCUACAAACAAUCUUGGAAAUCUUAUAAAAUAACCAUUUACACAUAUAUCUUGAUCAUUGCUCGGGACAUAUUUCAUCAACAACAUGUGGAUAAGAAUUUUGCAAUUCACUAGUCACCAAAUAAAAGGAAUCACACAAUAAGUAAGUUGUUUACAGUGGUUUUUUGGCAAUUUAUGACAUUUUCAAGCUCCUAGAUAUUAGUUUUUAACUUGUUUUACGGUAUUAUAAAAAAAUUCAUAGAUAUUUCUCUAUGAUUGGCUGCGUUUGUGUGAUUUUUGUCAUGUCGAAGUACUUAUUUUAGGUAUAAUGUUAGUCUCUAUAUGCAUGUUUCUCGGCAUAUGUAAUAUAUCCUCAGCGUACCAAUAUUUUGGUCAACUAAAAACUAAUACUAUCAUACUUUGCCCUAUAGCACAACUAGAUAUUUAAAUGUUAUAUAUUAUAUUUAAUUAUUACUGUUCUGAAUUAUAAUUCUCCUGUAGGGCUAUGAUAACAUAAUUGAGAAUUCCUUACAAUCUUUGUUGUUUUCGAGAUUUUAUUGAUAAGCAUAUCAUAUUGGAUGAAAGACAUAUGGAAGCCCUUGGGAAGACCCCUUUUCACAACUUCCUCCGAAUACUCACCUCCCUAAGCAAUGAGCAAGUGACAAUUGAUUGCUUGAUUCAAAAAUUUAAUCCCGAUAAAUGCUCAUUUAUGUUUGGGAAUAAAGAUUACGUGUUUGGUAUAGAGGAUGUGCAUCGAAUUAUCGGUUUGACAGAUGGAAUUCCGAUAAAUAUUAGUAUACCCAAUUUGUAAAGAACUAUAAGACACCCAAGGAGAAGAAGGAUAGUAGGAGUGAGGGCAAGAAAAAAGUCGAUGAGGAAAUGAAGGGGGCAUUUUGGGGAAGCGCAUAGAAUGACUGAGUUGAUUGUAGGUAUGGCCAAAAAAGACCAUAUAACUUGUGUGAAAGUUAUUGUGGCCUUUAUUAUCGACUUCAUAUUAUGUCCGCAAACAUGUAGGACAUGUCUUUUGUGGGCGUUUAGAUAUGCACAAUAUUUGUCCAUUUUGGAGAAUUAUAACUGGUGUCAUGCAGUGUUUACUUUUAUUUGCAAAGAGAUGAAGAAGGCAAAGAGGUCCAUUAAUAUGAGCAGAUUGGGAGAACGGUUGUAUGUUGAUUACAUGGGUGGUUUUUCCUCUGUAUUGCUGGUUUGGUUUUAUGAAUUGAUGGGAAAACUAGAAUGUACUUCAAACAUUGAGGGCUUACCAAUGCUCUUUUGUGUUAAGAAUACCGAAAAAUUUAGGAGGACUAUCAUGAAUGAACAAAUUGUUUAGAGAUCCGAAAUGUCUUAUGGAUAUUGGUCAAGAGAAUACUCCUCUCAUUCAUAGGAUAUCGCCACACGUAUUUGUAUAUAUCUUUACUCUAAUAGAUUAUUAUUUUUAUGUCCUUUUCUUUUUUUAGUAUUUUUAUCUGUAACUAUAUUAUGAGUAAUACUUGUGUAUUUUUUGUGUUAUAAGUAUCAAGAAAAGCUGAAUUGAUCACAUCAGUUGCUAAGAAGAUGUAUGAGUUGAAUGAGCUUACUACGGAAUUACAAGAAUUAGAAGAGCAUGGUGCUAGAGGCAUAAAUAAAAACAAAGAGGAAGAGGAUAAGAAAAAUAAAAAUGGAGACAAUAAAAAGCAAAGAGGAUAAGGAAGCUGAUGAUUAUGAGAAAGAGGAAGAGAAAGAGGUAGAGGAUAAUGAAAAUGAAAAAGAGAAAAAUAUUGAAGAAAAAAGAGAUACAAAAGAUAAAGUAGAGGAGCAAAGUGCUGUAGAGGGGGAUAACACUGAUGGGGUGGGAGAGGAUGACAACUUUUGUGACUUUCUAAUAAGUCCAAGAAAAUUGGAAAUUUUAAAGUAAGCUGAUACUGAUGAGAACUUUGUGAUGAGCCCAAGAGAAAGAAAAAUUUUAGAAGAAGCUCGGGAGGUUUGUCCACAAGAUGAAGGCGACAACGAUAAUAAGAGGGACACCCUAUCCAUCAAACGGGUUAUGAGAAAGACGAAGAGGAAGGAUGGACCUUCUGUUAGUUCACCUUACUUGCGUCUAGAUUAGCCCAAAGAAGGUACAAAGAAGAAAUGCGUCAUCCAGAUCAUGGAUAGUCCUAAGGGGGCUAUAAAAAGAAGUGCAUAAAUAGAGAAGGCUUUAUGUCUAAAUCUCACAAUUAUCCAGGAAAUACACUGGUUUAUGAGGACAAACUAAUAGAUGACUUUCAACAAUUGAAAAUGACCAGGUAAUUACUAGUGAUUAUUCUAAUAAUAAAUCUUUAACCCGUCUUAUACUUAGUUACUAUUUCUCACUACGUACUUGUAUAUAGUGAUACAUUCAUUUGGAAGUGCGUCGAAGCAAGUGUAUCUGGCUUAGAUGCUUAUAAAUUUUUAACAGGAGGUGAACUCAGUGACAAUGCAGAUGCUAAAUUGUGUUA